AGUACAUUGUGGUUUGUACAAUUUUAGCGAAUUGAAUUAUCCACGAGAGAUAAGUGAAUCUUUUGCUGAAAUGACUGAUAAUCAUGUGCUAGAAGCACAGUUUCAUCACCCACAUUUUGAAGAUGAUUCUCAAAAAAUGAAUGUCACAUUGUUUUUGAAUACUGAACACGACAAAAUUAAUAUUAACAAAAAAUGUUUUGAAGUAAUCAUGAAUCAGAUAACACAAAUCCAGAAUAAAUUGGAAGAAUGAUUUGUUGAGUAUUGCAAGGAAAACAAUGGACUUUAGUUUAAAAAGAGAAAAGUAAAGCAACAAGAAAACAAAAAGUUCUUCAAUUAACA